GAUGAAUGCUGGCAGCGUGCCUAACACAUGCAAGUCGAGCGGCAGCGAGGGGUGCUUGCACCCUGUCGGCGAGCGGCGAACGGCUGAGUAACGCGUAGGAAUUUGCCCCAAAGUGAGGAAUAACUGCCCGAAAGGGUAGCUAAUGCCGCAUAUGGUCUUCGGAUUAAAGGAUUUAUCCGCUUUGGGAGAAGCCUGCGUUGGAUUAGGUUGUUGGUAGGGUAAUGGCCUACCAAGCCGACGAUCCAUAGCUGGUCUGAGAGGAUGAUCAGCCAGACUGGAACUGAGACACGGUCCAGACUCCUACGGGAGGCAGCAGUGAGGAAUCUUCCACAAUGGGCGAAAGCCUGAUGGAGCAACGCCGCGUGAAGGAUGAAGGCCUUCGGGUUGUAAACUUCUUUUAUGAGUGAAGAAUAUGACGGUAACUCAUGAAUAAGCACCGGCUAACUACGUG
rnacentral:rRNA from 1 species